GUGAUUUGGAUGAUUGCUUACAUUUUCAUCUGACAAGCUAAAUCCCAUGAGAUAAGCCAUUCACAUUUACAUUUUUCUGCAAAUCUCAGGUGUCAUUGACUGAACCUCAUCACUGCUACUUUUCUAUGAUGAUAUUACUCAUCGAUAUGGAUGGGACGAAGUUCGAUAACCAAGCAGCAAGUUGAAAGUUAUGAACGAACACCUUGCUUUUACUUGCCUCAAAUGAUUAAAUACCAAAACGAAAUUUUACGGCUUUACUAAACGUCGAGGAAGAGAGUAUGCACUUUUAUCUUCUUUUGCUUGCAUCAAAAUAUGAAAGUAAUCUAACCUGCGUACUGAUAAAUCGGAGCAGUCACAAAUUAAUUACGUGAUUGACAGAAGUCGAGGCGAACAUAACAAACUCGAUCCGACCGUGAAUGCACUUCUCACUGCUGCGUUGACUGAAGAUAACGACCUCUGAAAAGUCUACAUGAAACCAGGAAACUGUUGACUGAAAACAUGUAGUCAACGACGAAACUCUCAGGCGCUCAAAUAUCACCGUACGAACAAAGAGGCUUACGACCACGUAUCUACACUCAACGUUACGACUGGCUUACGACGAUUACGACUAUAGAAUAUUAGCAUCAAAACUAAACCACUGAUCAAAGAUGUUGGAAAACAAUUCAAAUUAUGCAUUCCCCUGCACAUCUGAGACAACCAAUCAAUUCGCCAUUAUUUAUGUUUAGAACAUCUUCCAAUCGGAAUAAUGCUGCACCGCAUUAUCAAUUAAACACGUUAGCUGACACCUCAAAUUGGUUAUUGCAUCAAAACCUGCGUACAUUGCACCUCAUUCAAUAGAUUUUUCAAGACGAUAAAUAUUUUCUUUCGCUAUGGCUGAUCGAUUUUUGCUGCUAGGUAUUUUAACAAAUAUUUAUAUUUCAACAUAAUUGCAUGAAACAAAGUUUAUACAAAAGUCACCAUUGACUCAGAGAGACUUGACAGCACGUUCUGUGCAAGGAGGUCCUGCGUAGUGAUAAAUCUAUUUGUAUUGAUUAUAUAUUUGGAAGAAAGUUGGAAUUAAAAAAAGAGACAAACCUAUGAUUAAAAAACAUAGCAUUAGAGAUUCAUAACAUAUUAUUGACAAAUUAUGUGAAUAGUCUAAACAAAUAAUGUGCUCUGAUUCACCGAAUAUAUUCAGUAAAGUUCUAGAAAGUUGGCUAUCUAAUUCACUAGAGAAAAUACACCCAAGAUGUAUUCAGUUAACAUUAAAUAUUACGAUAAAUAAUGGCUACGAUAAAAGCAAGAUCAUUGCAAUAGCGAGAUCAGUACCUCCAGCUAGUUUCGCACCUUUCUGAAAAUCUGUCAUUCACAUCCUUCCCAUACGACUUCACAAAUUAUCAAAUUUAUUGUUAUCUGUUUAGCCGUUCCUCUUCAAUUGUUGCUAUUAAUCGCUGACGUGUUUUUUUGUUAUUCUGGCAGCCACAUGAUAUUAAGCCAAUCAAAUGUU